UGCUAUGGGUGAGAGGUUUUUGCUGUCAUCUGACUGGUGAAAUCCUUCUUUUUCAGCCUCGGCGUUCCUUUCUAUUACUCUCUUGCCUUUGUGGUGUUGAAAAUCACCUGGGAAAUCUAUUUAAUGAUGCAGUUUUAUGUAAAAGGCAUAACCUCCAUAAACCCGAGAAUGUCUCCAGCCCGAGUACUACUGCAAAACGCUCCUUCCAACACCAAAGUGUUGACAAGAGUCAACAUGAAUUUUGGACUUCCCAGGAUUUGUUUUCCUUUGCCAGAGGCUGCUCAAUUGGUACCCCCUGGUUUGGGUCUAAGGGGUUUCUUUAGUGGAAACGGCUGUAGGUCCUUGCCUAGGAAGGCAGUAAACAACACCCAUGGGCUCAGCAGGGCUAGCACUAGCAGACUGCUUUGAAAUGAAUAAAUACAAGGAAAAAAUAAAUUUUCCCU